rnacentral:lncRNA from 1 species
AAUAUUCCAAAGAGUACAUGCGGCAAUCCAAAAUGCAGAAGUGAGAGUAGCGACUGACCUAUCGUGUUUCCGACUUCAUAUGCGCCUUCUUCAAUUUUCGAUUCCAUGACCAUGGAAAAUCCAAACGACACCAUCUCUCCCAAACCCAAAGCCCUAACGGUUAGUUCUCUUUCUUUUAUUUCUAGUUGAAGAUAAUUGAUUCUUUUCCUCUUUUCUGAUUCUCUGAAUUCAGCCUAGUCCCAACACAAAUAUGCAAUACUCGAUUUUUUUCUUCUUAUUUCUGAUUUCAUUUUUCUGAAAUACUAGCAAUUAAAAGUUAUCGGUUGUCGUUUUAUUUCUGAAUCAGAUGUUUUUUUAGUUGAGACUCACGAUUAACUGCACCAGUUGGAUUAAUUUCCUUUUGAAUCGUAUUCAAAUGAAAGUUUAAAGUAGAGUAAUCUUUCAGAAUUGUAUGUGUUACUGUGUAAGUCGAAUUUCUAAAAUCUAUGAACUUGUUUUGUUAAGAAUCUGCAAAACCGAUCUCUGAUUUUGCUUAAAUUAAUUUCUCUGAUUUUGAUUGUGUAUGAAUAAUUGUCCACUGAAAUAGAAGUUAUUGAUUUCGAUUUCGUAUGAAUCAUUGCUAAAUUCGAAUUUUCUGAAUUUUAAAGAUGAUUUUGUUUAAUUCGAUUUCUCUUUUUUCUAUUCUAAACAUCAAAUAAUCAGAUUUCUCAUUUCUUAUUUGAGCUCAAAGGAUUAUUAACAGUCAGGAUAGUAGUUGAGCAGGUAUUUUCUUUUCACUUUUUUUUAACCUGAUUUUUGUGAUUUUGCUUAAUCUCAAUUUUGAAGAUGAUUUGGUUUAAUUUUACUUCUCUGUUUUCUAAACUUUAGUUUUUUGUUAAUCUAUUUUUUGUUGAUUUGUGAAUAUAUAUGAUUGUUGAUUUGUUAUAUUUUUAUAAAUGUCCCCUAUAUGUCUGGAAGUGAAAAACGAAAAAAAAAAUAUAAAAUAAAACAAAAAACUGAACAAUUUAAUGAAGCUCAAAAAGAAUCGAUGAAUAAAUUUGUAAAAAAAAAAAUUAAAUUCUUCUAACAUACAAUAUAAUGCCACAUGUGAAAAUGUAUUACAUGAGGAAGAUAAUAUCUUUAGUUUUUUUUUAUAUUGUUGUUUUGUAUUAAUAGUUGCUAGGUUGUUUGGCUUUGGUGGUUUGUCAUGAAGCCUUUUCUUUCCAUAGGUGGAUUUGUAAUAUUAUUCUUUUAAUUAAUAAAAAUUUUUGGAGGUGUUCUUGUCCUUUACACAAAAAACAUUAAAAGGGCCCUAAUUUAUUAUUUUACCCCGGCUUUAAAUUGUCUAGGACGAGCCCUGAAGACACCAUUAUGGGAAUUGAGAACAUCAUAAAUCUUCAUCUUCAAUAUUAAGGGGAUGUCAUUCCACCACUACUACCGGUGAGCUUUUCCUGGCCAAACGUUCGGGUUUGCUAAUUGUGUUUAUAUUUAGCACCGGAUACCUAAUUGAAGAGAGUCAUUCCACCUGUUUCUAGUUUAACUUUUCAUAGUCUUGAAUUUAUCUGCUGGAAGAUGAUCAUCUUUAUUGGUUCUUCUACACGUAUAUGUAAUUUGUAAAAUUCUCUUUCAACUAGGUUUAGAUGAUGCCUUCAAAAGCCAUGAAUGGGAUGUUUAAUAUAUGGUCCUUAGACUAAGUAAAAUUUUGGAUUGCCUGCUGAAAUAUGCAACACUAAAUGUCGAAAUGAAACUCAAGUUUAAAACUGACUAAUGUGUAUCUAUACUUUAUAUGGAGGUUACUAUCGGACAUGAGAUUGAGAUUUAAGGGUUUAACUUAGCUCUAAGAUGGUUGUCAUCUCACCAAAAGAAACAAAUAACAUCUUUUAUGCAGAUUGCUAAUCAAAUUGUAAAUAGAAAUCAUUGUUUUAAGGGUUGUUUUAAUGAUGAAAUUAAAUAUUUGGUGUCUUGAAAUAUAAAUUCUGAUGAUAUAUUUAAUUGAAACUUGGAAAAAAGAAUUUUAAAUAUAUAAUACGGUUGGUUUUUAUAGCAAAAAAAGUCAUCUUUUCGACACAUCAACAACAUUUUCAGUUUUAUAAAAUGUUCGUAAACUCCUAUGGCCACCGUAAGAUGUCGUCAACAAAUGUAUUCCUUCUCUUUUCCUUUCAUUUUAGCUUCCAAUUUUUAUAAUAUUUCCAAUUUACAUGUUCUCUUUUUUUUCCUAGGACGUUAAUUCUUAUGCAACUCAUUGCUUUGAGUAAUCAUCAUCGUUAACAAGAGCAAUAGCACAAGGAACUUGGAGAUGUGAAGUUCUUUUUCUAGACAAAAAGAGCAUACCAUAGUUUUCCAUUUUUUUUAACUUUACUUGUUAUUUGAUUGGGAAAAGUUUCAAAUUUUUGCAGGUAUACAAUUUCAAUUUCUUGCAAAAUGUCUCUAGCAACAAGGUAACUAUUUUUAAUGUAGUUUAUGAUUUAAGACAACAAUGUGUAUUAAAAUGGAGAUUGCAUUAUUUGAUCUUCUUAAGUUACCUACACUUAAUCAUAUAUUAGUAUUUCUAUAAGUGAGUAUUCUUAUACAAUUAUAUUACUAUGUGAGUAUAUAUUUUUGUUUUGGCUUAGGUUCAAAAUUAUUCCAAUAGUAAUUUAGAAAUAACUUCAUCUUCAUUUUUUUAUGCAGAGGUUUAUCAGUAACUUGCUUAGAGUGUUGGAUGCCUGGAUUGCAACUAGAUUGAAGAAGUGUUAUUUACAAAUGUUUAAACAUGCAAAAGCACGAAAUCAAUACAAAAAAAA